rnacentral:rRNA from 1 species
GACGAACGCUGGCGGCGUGCCUAACACAUGCAAGUCGAGCGGAGUUUGGCCGGUUUUAAUUUCGGUUAAAACCGGCCAAACUUAGCGGCGGACGGGUGAGUAACACGUAGGUAACCUGCCCAUGACACGGGGAUAGCUUCGGGAAACUGAAGGUAAUACCCGAUACCUUUACGCAUCCAAUGGUGUGUAAAGAAAGCGAUUUAGCGGUCAUGGAUGGGCCUGCGUCCCAUUAGCUAGUUGGUGAGAUAACAGCCCACCAAGGCAACGAUGGGUAGCCGGCCUGAGAGGGCGACCGGCCAACGACUGGAACUUAGAUACGGUCCAGGCUCCUACGGGAGGCAGCAGUGGGGAAUUUUGCGCAAUGGGGGAAACCCUGACGCAGCGACGCCGCGUGAGCGAUGAAGGCCUUCGGGUCGUAAAGCUCAGUCAUUGGGGAUGAAAGGACAGUACCCAAAGAGGAAGCCCGGCUAACUACGUG